CAUUCUUCAUAAGAGAAGUCAUGCAUAUUCUCGCGUACCUUUGUUUGUUAUACUUUGUGUUUUAUUAUAUUACUGAUAAAACAAUAUUCGUUACCUGUGGUACUGAGCUUAUUAAUGAGGAUGGUUAUGUUGAAUUACUAACUGAACUAAGGGAGAGGUUCCCGGAAUAUUGGGUUCUAAGCGGCGCUUACAAACCAUCUAUUGCCCAACAUCUAUUCGUCGUCUCUCUUCUCUUAAUCUCCAAGUUUUAUGGUUUCAAAAAAAUAUUUUAUUCUUUCUAUAGAAUGGAAAGAAGGUCGAUCUUCAGAACAUUGCUAUGGAUAAGUGCACUGCUCGUAUUAUUAAUCCUUCUUAUAAUAACGUACAUUAUACAGGUCGAUGUUUUUGGAGUAACUUUAGAAGGACAGAUGAUCUAUUUAAAGCACACUCCUCAAGAAAUCCCAAGAGUUGGCGACUUGAUACAAAUAAUUCAGGAAAAAAUAGAGAACUCAACUAGUCCUGCAAUUACUCCUAUUGUUUUACAUUUAGGUUUUUAUAUUUUAUUAAACCAAUCAAAAAAAAUGUAGGAAACCGUCGGAGAUAAAAAGAAAGAAAAAUGAAAUAAAUAACUUUAAAAUAAAUAA